GAUGAACGCUGGCGGCGUGCCUAAUACAUGCAAGUCGAGCGAAUGGAUUAAGAGCUUGCUCUUAUGAAGUUAGCGGCGGACGGGUGAGUAACACGUGGGUAACCUGCCCAUAAGACUGGGAUAACUCCGGGAAACCGGGGCUAUACCGGAUAACAUUUUGAACCGCAUGGCUCGAAAUUGAAAGGCGGCUUCGGCUGUCACUUAUGGAUGGACCCGCGUCGCAUUAGCUAGUUGGUGAGGUAACGGCUCACCAAGGCAACGAUGCGUAGCCGACCUGAGGAGGUGAUCGGCCACACUGUGACUGAGACACUGCCCCGACGCCGACGGGGGGCAGCAGUGUGGAAUCUUCCGCAAUGUACGAAAGUCUGGCGGAGCAACGCCUCGUGAGUGAUGAAGGCUUUCGGGUCGUAAAACUCUGUUGUUAGGGAAGAACAAGUGCUAGUUGAAUAAGCUGGCACCUUGACGGUACCUAACCAGAAAGCCACGGCUAACUACGUGCCAGCCGCCGCCGUAA
rnacentral:rRNA from 1 species